rnacentral:rRNA from 1 species
GACGAACGCUGGCGGCGUGCUUAACACAUGCAAGUCGAACGGAAAGGCCCUGCUUUUGUGGGGUGCUCGAGUGGCGAACGGGUGAGUAACACGUGAGUAACCUGCCCUGGACUUCGGGAUAACUUCAGGAAACUGGGGCUAAUACCGGAUAGGAGCUCCUGCUGCAUGGUGGGGUUUGGAAAGUUUCGGCGGUUGGGGAUGGACUCGCGGCUUAUCAGCUUGUUGGUGGGGUAGUGGCUUACCAAGGCUUUGACGGGUAGCCGGCCUGAGAGGGUGACCGGCCACAUUGGGACUGAGAUACGGCCAAGACUCCUACGGGGGGCAGCGGUGGGGAAUAUUGAACAAUGGGCGGAAGCCUGAUGCAGCAACGCGGCGUGCGGGAUGACGGCCUUCGGGUUGUAACCCGCUUUCGCCUGUGACGAAGCGUGAGUGACGGUAAUGGGUAAAGAAGCACCGGCUAACUACGUG